rnacentral:rRNA from 1 species
AUUGAACGCUGGCGGCAUGCCUUACACAUGCAAGUCGAACGAGGGUAGCAAUACCUUAGUGGCGAACGGGGGAGUAAUAUAUCGGAACGUACCCUAGAGUGGGGGACAACCAGUCGAAAGACUGGCUAAUACCGCAUACGAUCUCUGGAUGAAAGUGGGGGACCGCAAGGCCUCACUCUCCUGGAGCGGCCGAUAUCUGAUUAGCGAGUUGGUAGGGUAAAAGCCUACCAAGGCAUCGACCAGUAGCUGGUCUGAGAGGACGAUCAGCCACACUGGGACGGGGACACGGACCAGACUCCUACGGGAGGCAGCAGUGGGGAAUUUUGUACAAUGGGGGAAACCCUGAUCCAGCAAUGCCGCGUGAGUGAAGAAGGCCCUCGGGUUGUAAAGCUCUUUUGUCAGGGAAGAAAAGGCUAUGGCUAAUAUCCAUGGCUGAUGACGGUACCUGAAGAAUAAGCACCGGCUAACUACGUGCCAGCCGCCGCCGUAA